UCCAGCCAGCAAAUCCUACUGUGAAAGGCCUCUGUGUGACCUCCAGAAAACAUUUUUGAACAAACCUCCAAACCCCUUUACACUUUUAAUGACUGUUUUACAAGGAUUUAGGAUGUGAUGACUAUUGGAUUUAACUAUAAUGAUUUGCCAAGAAACAUGUUAAAGAUUUAAGCACCAAAGACUUCUAAACUGUAGGCUAAGAUGUUGCCUUCCACGAAGGCCAUUACACACCAACCCUUUUCUGAAGGCAUAUUCCAUGGCUAUCCAAGGAGCAAACCACAAGUCAAGGGGACAUUUUCAAAAGUGUUUCCAUUUGCAAGCUGGGUGACCAGCGGGGCCAUGCUGGAAGUCAUAAGUUUGUUAACUGGGAAGUGCCUUUCACGGCACCACUUUGGAGAUGAUAAGAUAGUCGGUCAGGUCAAAGAUUUUAUGUGGGAGAAGCGCUGGUGUCUGCUAGUUGAGCUGCAGGAUUCGUCUGGAUUUUUCUAUCUGUGCUGCUACUGUCUGGGCACAUCAAGAGUCGUGAGAGCCAUCUCCCUUCCCUCAAAGGUGAAAUGUAUGGAAGUAAUGGGUGACAAAUGGUUCAAAGAUACUGGACAUCUUCACACAACCUUGACAUGCUUUGCUGGUGUUGCAGUACUGGGAACAGACCAAGGGGACAUUCUGCUGCUGGAUUUAGCUUUAGCUGAUAAAAAACACUACAGGACUGAGAAGGAAGCUGCUGAGUACAAGCUGCUGGCUGGUUUUGAUACAGGCUAUGAAGCUGAACUGAAAGAAGCACAGCUACAGGAGAUACAUGUGUUCGGCUGCACAUCCAAGCAGGGGCUUGGGCCACGUCUCAAGCCUUUAUCACACAUACUAACCAAUUAGUAGUUGGCUACUCAACGGGGAUCCUGCAGUUUUGGAACCUGCUGCACCUCCACAUGGAGUUCCAAAUUCAAAUGCAAUCAGAACUGUCUCCAAUAGACGCUUUGCAGUUUCAAGAAUCUUCAAGCUCUAACAUACCUCGAUGCUUUCUUUGGGUGAUUUCAUCCCAGCCAUGCAGAGAAGGAGCCACAAUCAAGAUUAACCUUCUAGAGCUGUUAUUUCGUGAGUACAGUGCUUCGGCUCAGGUCCAUUAUCACGAUUUUCUCAGCUGUCAAGUGUAUCACACACAGCAGUUGUGCGAUGGAGUCGAACCCAAUCCCUCGGCAUCCUACUGUCGCCUUCUCAGCUGCCACACCAUCAGGGCUUGUCAACCAAACCAUUUAUCAAGCUCUCUGUUACAACACAGAGGUAUUGCACGUUGUCUGGACCUGGGUAACCUUGCUGUUUUUACAUGGGAAGUAAAAAAGGUGGAGCUGGCAACCUUCAUAGCUGUGUUUAAUCUUAGCCAGUUACAGGAGGACAGACCAGAACCACUACGGUCAAACAGUGAGCUGGAAAACUGCCAGCAUUUGAAAGUCUGGAGUUCUGGGAACAGAGACACUCCAGUACUGGAUAUCGUUGUCUAUAAAAACUUCCUUUGUCACAUAUUUACAUAGCCGGAUGCAGACAUGAACAUUGGGAACCAACUUGGUCUCCUUGUAUUAAAUGCAGCCACCUUGUUUGUGCACGGAUUUGAAAUUCACGGGCUCCCAGCAUACCACUCAGAGCCCCUUACUAUAAAGGGUUUUAGCAUGGAAGGAUCGCUGGGAUAUCUGAGUAAGCUCAUUGAAUACUCUG